GUCGUAGCUCAGUGGCAGGACAUCUGCUUUGCAUGCAGAAGGUUCCAAGUUCAACCCCUGGCAUUUCCU